rnacentral:rRNA from 1 species
AAAUUGAAGAGUUUGAUCAUGGCUCAGAUUGAACGCUGGCGGCAGGCCUAACACAUGCAAGUCGAGCGGUAGCACAGAGAGCUUGCUCUCGGGUGACGAGCGGCGGACGGGUGAGUAAUGUCUGGGAAACUGCCUGAUGGAGGGGGAUAACUACUGGAAACGGUAGCUAAUACCGCAUAACGUCGCAAGACCAAAGUGGGGGACCUUCGGGCCUCAUGCCAUCAGAUGUGCCCAGAUGGGAUUAGCUAGUAGGUGGGGUAACGGCUCACCUAGGCGACGAUCCCUAGCUGGUCUGAGAGGAUGACCAGCCACACUGGAACUGAGACACGGUCCAGACUCCUACGGGAGGCAGCAGUGGGGAAUAUUGCACAAUGGGCGCAAGCCUGAUGCAGCCAUGCCGCGUGUGUGAAGAAGGCCUUCGGGUUGUAAAGCACUUUCAGCGGGGAGGAAGGCGGUGAGGUUAAUAACCUCAUCGAUUGACGUUACCCGCAGAAGAAGCACCGGCUAACUCCGUGCCAGCAGCCGCGGUAAUACGGAGGGUGCAAGCGUUAAUCGGAAUUACUGGGCGUAAAGCGCACGCAGGCGGUCUGUCAAGUCGGAUGUGAAAUCCCCCGGGCUCAACCUGGGAACUGCAUUCGAAACUGGCAGGCUAGAGUCUUGUAGAGGGGGGUAGAAUUCCAGGUGUAGCGGUGAAAUGCGUAGAGAUCUGGAGGAAUACCGGUGGCGAAGGCGGCCCCCUGGACAAAGACUGACGCUCAGGUGCGAAAGCGUGGGGAGCAAACAGGAUUAGAUACCCUGGUAGUCCACGCCGUAAACGAUGUCGAUUUGGAGGUUGUGCCCUUGAGGCGUGGCUUCCGGAGCUAACGCGUUAAAUCGACCGCCUGGGGAGUACGGCCGCAAGGUUAAAACUCAAAUGAAUUGACGGGGGCCCGCACAAGCGGUGGAGCAUGUGGUUUAAUUCGAUGCAACGCGAAGAACCUUACCUGGUCUUGACAUCCACAGAACUUUCCAGAGAUGGAUUGGUGCCUUCGGGAACUGUGAGACAGGUGCUGCAUGGCUGUCGUCAGCUCGUGUUGUGAAAUGUUGGGUUAAGUCCCGCAACGAGCGCAACCCUUAUCCUUUGUUGCCAGCGGUCCGGCCGGGAACUCAAAGGAGACUGCCAGUGAUAAACUGGAGGAAGGUGGGGAUGACGUCAAGUCAUCAUGGCCCUUACGACCAAGGGCUACACACGUGCUACAAUGGCAUAUACAAAGAGAAGCGACCUCGCGAGAGCAAGCGGACCUCAUAAAGUAUGUCGUAGUCCGGAUUGGAGUCUGCAACUCGACUCCAUGAAGUCGGAAUCGCUAGUAAUCGUAGAUCAGAAUGCUACGGUGAAUACGUUCCCGGGCCUUGUACACACCGCCCGUCACACCAUGGGAGUGGGUUGCAAAAGAAGUAGGUAGCUUAACCUUCGGGAGGGCGCUUACCACUUUGUGAUUCAUGACUGGGGUGAAGUCGUAACAAGGUAACCGUAGGGGAACCUGCGGUUGGAUCACCUCCUUACCUUAAAGAA